AUCACCUAGGGAUCUUGUUAAAAUGCUGAUUCUAAUUCAGUGGUCUGGGUUGGAACCUGAGAUUCUGCAUUUCUAACAUGCUCCCAAGUGAUGCUGA
rnacentral:pre_miRNA from 1 species